rnacentral:rRNA from 1 species
CCGCGGUAACACGUAGGAGGCAAACGUUAUCCGGAUUUACUGGGCGUAAAGCGCGUGUAGGUGGUUCUGUAAGUAGGGCGUGAAAGCUCCUGGCUCAACUGGGAGAGGCCGUUCUAAACUGCAGAGCUAGAGGAUGGUAGAGGGAGGUGGAAUUCCGGGUGUAGCAGUGGAAUGCGCAGAUAUCCGGAGGAACACCAGUGGCGAAAGCGGCCUCCUGGACCAUUCCUGACACUCAGACGCGAAAGCUAGGGUAGCAAACGG